AGAGUGAACGCUGGCGGCAGGCCUAAUACAUGCAAGUCGAACGGCAGCACAGCAGAGCUUGCUCUGUGGGUGGCGAGUGGCGGACGGGUGAGGAAUACAUGGGAAUCUGCCCAGUCGUGGGGGAUAACGUAGGGAAACUUACGCUAAUACCGCAUGCCGCCCG
rnacentral:rRNA from 1 species